rnacentral:lncRNA from 1 species
CCGGGCAAUAACUUCACUUAUGUUCUCCAAGUCAAAGAUCAGAUUGGUAGUUUCUAUUACUUCCCUUCCCUUGCCUUCCACAAAGCAGCAGGAGGGUUCGGUAGUAUAAAUAUCGCCAGCCGCUCUGUGAUUCCUGUUCCUUUUCCACCUCCUGCUGGAGAGUUCUCUAUUCUGACUGGGGAUUGGUUCAAACAAAACCACAGUGUGAGCCUUUACUAACUCUUAAGUACCUCCUGCUGGAGUGUUCUCUAUUCUGACUGGGGAUUGGUUCAAACAAAACCACAGUGUGAGCCUUUACUAACUCUUAAGUAUUUCGUUUGUAUCUUACCACUAAGUUUUAGUCUGAGUUAACAACUUGAACCAAGAGUUUCAGUUUCUUAUCAUCAAUGUGCUUAUUUGUAUUUUAUAGGACC